AGGACGAACGCUGGCGGCGUGCUUAACACAUGCAAGUCGAGCGGUAAGGCUCCUUCGGGAGCACACGAGCGGCGAACGGGUGAGUAACACGUGAGCAAUCUGCCCUUCACACUGGGAUAACCCCGGGAAACCGGGGCUAAUACCGGAUGCGACCACCGACGGCAUCGUCUGGUGGUGGAAAGUUCCGGCGGUGGGGGAUGAGCUCGCGGCCUAUCAGCUUGUUGGUGGGGUAAUGGCCUACCAAGGCUUCGACGGGUAGCCGGCCUGAGAGGGUGACCGGCCACACUGGGACUGAGACACGGCCCAGACUCCUACGGGAGGCAGCAGUGGGGAAUAUUGGACAAUGGGCGAAAGCCUGAUCCAGCAACGCCGCGUGAGGGAUGACGGCCUUCGGGUUGUAAACCUCUUUCAGCAGGGACGAAGCGCAAGUGACGGUACCUGCAGAAGAAGCACCGGCCAACUACGUGCCAGCAGCCGC
rnacentral:rRNA from 1 species